UCAGACAUGCACCUCAUUACGUGAAUUUGAUACAACUUUACAUCUUCUUAAUGAAGCCUUGUUUACCUGUUGUUUACUGUCAUGCUCUCCACCUCUGCAUAGCCUGCAGUCUCUCUCUCUUUGUGUUUGUCUGUGUUUGUCUGUGAUUGCCUGAGUGGAGACAGGUGUGCCGGAGCCAGAGUAGAGCUUCAUCAGCUGCAUCUCAUCCUGCAAUCAAGUCUCCCGCAAAGACUCAGCUCUGCCACACUCACCUUGCCAGAUUACAGUUUCUGCUCAGUCAGUUUGCGGUUCAAGCUUCUCUAGUUAACUUUGCUAGUUACUUACGUUACCUAAUCCCGUUUCUCCUCUCUCUGCAGUUGUGUCUGUUCUGCUCCAGUACCUGUCUCCAGCAUCUGUCCUUACGUCUCUGUCCUGGAUCCCCGCUUGGCUCUGGAUUCCGCUCGGGACACUUGGCACAACCAGCUACCAGCCCAGUCCUCCACGAACCCAGGCUUCCCCAAUGCUCAGCUCAUUCCUGGCUCAUAUCCAUGCUCCCUAUCAAAGCCAGGAAGCGUGCUCAACAUGAACUCAAAGCAUGGCACAGAUGUCUGAACCCCCGCAGAAAGUGCAAAUGCUCACUCCGCAUUCGAUUCCAUCUGGACACAGAGCGGCGUGAGCGGGCGUCAUAAAAACAAGCCGACCUGAAGUGGAGAGCCAACGGAGUGUCUUGUCAGCCGAGUGAGAGAGCAACUUUGAAGUGCAGAGAGCACAGAACACAGAAGAGAAGACCUUUGCAUUGGGAGCCAAGCUCUAAGUGGGUCAUACAGUUUGCCUUUGUUAACAAAUGCUGUUUGUUUUAGUCCUCGUCUCGCUCUUCCUCGGAAAACAAAUGCUGGCAGCCACUAUGCCCUUUCUACUACUGUCCGACUGUUUAGAGUAAUUUUAUGUUAAUUACAACGUUACAAAUACUUUUUUUUUUUUUUGCCUGGCUGUUGUGGGUACUGGUUCCCUUCUGAAACUUUGUUUCUAUUUAUUCAUUAGUGUUUGUUAAAUUCCUGCUGGAGGUGGAUUGGGACUGAAGACUGUAAACAGCAUCAUCGCAACAUCCUGAAUCUGGCUCUCCAAUAUGUUUUUUUUCUCUUCUUCAUUUUGAUAUACUUUAUUUAUUCCUCAGAGAUGGAAUUCCCUCUGGUGGAGACACAGGGUCAGCAGUUUAUUGCAUGUCACACUCUGUGAAAUGGGUAUAUAAAAGAUUCUCGGGUGCAAUCUGUUACAGACAAUACAAUAUCAGUUUGAGACAUGUCAGAUUGUGUGAUCAUUGCACGUCGUCCAUCUCAUGUUUUGAAAGUGCAGCAAAGUCCCACAAACCUCUUUUCUUUUGUCUUUAAAACUUUAAGAAAAUGUCAAUUUUCAGAUUUGUUGGUUUCUCACAGUAUAAUCUAGGACCACCAUUUUUAGACUGAUCUCCUCUGGGACAGGCCAAAAAUUCAUCCCUCCUAGAAAUUCCACUUUAAUACUACUCAUUUCAUUCAUUUCAAAUCCAUCCAGUUGUGUUGAGAUAUUUCAGUCUGGACCAAAGUGGUGGACCGACCGACAUUGUCGUCCCUAGAGCCAUGCCGACACAACGCACUACCAACAUUUCUGACUUUUGGCAUAUAAACUCACAAUAUUUCACCCAUUUUUGCCAUUAGGGUCUGAAAUUGUCCAUCUUUAAAUCCAUAAUCCCAUGUGUCUUUCAGAACUCCCAGGGUCAUGCUCUGUCUUACGUUUCGUAGAGAGGUACAGUAACUUGGGCUCUACGGAGAAAAUCUUCACCCUCAUUGUUCGCGUCUCGUUCUUCUGAUCCUGUAGCAUUGACAGUAUUUCUUUAGAACCCUUUAGCCCACGAUCCACAUUAAUUUGACAGUUUUCUGCUGACAGAAGUAUUUUGAUAGACAGAAAACCCCGAGAUUUUUUUGAGUUCUGUUUUUAAUAUCAUCAAAGAUGCAUCUUGCGGCUUUCUCUGUUCAUUUCUCACCUAUCUCCCCAGCCAGCUCCCCCCAUUCCUCUCCAACUCCUCUCCAACUCAGUAUCUGACCUGUCUGCUAUGAUGACCAUUAAGGCUUGGCCAGCGGUGCCGGUGGGCCUGCUGCUUCCCUGCUCGCGUCCCUGUUGCACUGCAGUGAGCUCGCUGGCCUGGAGCCGCUAACAAGCUGUGCAUUCAGACAGUUGAUGCUACAAAUGGAGCUGUGCAGUGGACCAACUUUGGAGAUGAACAACUGAAGCGCUGCUGAAUUCUUUUGGCAAGGGAGGGAGCAAGACCCCCUGCUCUCUGCUGAAGCUAAGACUGGAGCUGACUUGCAUUCACUCACAGCAUAGAAACCUAUUCGCAGUGUGGUUGCAUGUGUCAUUGUGUCAUUUAUUCUAAUUUCACAUGUAUACUGCACUAUAAUACAAUGUAAUAAAUAAUGUAUUGCUAA